rnacentral:rRNA from 1 species
AUUGAACGCUGGCGGCAGGCCUAACACAUGCAAGUCGAACGAGUGGCGGACGGGUGAGUGAUGUCGGGGAAACUGCCUGAUGGAGGGGGAUAACUACUGGAAACGGUAGCUAAUACCGCAUACCAUCAGAUGUGCCCAGAUGGGAUUGGCUUGUGGGUGGGGUAACGGCUAAACAAGGCGACGAUCCCUAGCUGGUCGGAGAGGAUGAUCAGCCACACUGGAACUGAGACACGGCCCAGACUCCUACGGGAGGCAGCAGUGGGGAAUAUUCCACAAUGGUCGCAAGCCUGAUGCAGCCAUGCCGCGUGUAUGAAGAAGGCCUUCGGGUUGUAAAGUACUUUCAUCGGGGAGGCGUUACCCGCAGAAGAAGCCCCGGCUAACUCCGUGCCAGCAGCCGCGGUAAUAC